UACGCGAUACACACAAUUUAUUAAUUCUUUGAUAUUGGAAUGAAGUCUUCCAGCAGAUACCCUGGCAGCCAUAACCUUGUGUGUGUAAAACGUAGUCGCAGUUGUCUUAAGAAUGCCAUACUCUCGAGUUACAUCUCAAUUGACCUUUCUGCAUUUUAUCCACAAUUUCUUUAUGUUCAAUCGAGUGUUGGUCUGGCCGGAAUUAUUCCUCCGGUCACUGCUCUUCGAACCCAUUGUUACAUUUCACUCAAAAAAAUAAUAAUAACUACGGAUGCACAAAUUUUUUACUUUCUGAAAAAUGCAG
rnacentral:lncRNA from 1 species